CCAAUAGCGUAUAUUAAAGUUGUUGCAGUUAAAAAGCUCGUAGUUGAAUUUCGGGAUCAAUUUAUUGGUCGUGCCAACGGUACGUACUGGUACAAUUGGUUUCUCCCUUCUGACGAAGCAUGAUGUCAUUAAUUUGAUGUCGUGGGGAAUCAGGACUGUUACUUUGAAAAAAUUAGAGUGUUUAAAGCAGGCUUUGGCUUGAAUACAUUAGCAUGGAAUAAUGAAAUAGGACGUUUGAUCUUAUUUCGUUGGUUUCUAAGAUCGACGUAAUGCUUAAUAGGGAUAGUUGGGGGCAUUAGUAUUCAAUUGUCAGAGGUGAAAUUCUUGGAUUUAUUGAAGACUAACUACUGCGAAAGCAUUUGCCAAGGAUGUUUUCAUUAAUCAAGAACGAAAGUUAGGGGAUCGAAGACGAUCAGAUACCGUCGUAGUCUUAACCAUAAACUAUGCCGACUAGGGAUCGGAUGAUGUUAAUUUUUUAAUGACUCAUUCGGCGCCUUACG
rnacentral:rRNA from 1 species